CCUGUGCAUCGCUCCACCGCCGCAUUCCGCAAGGAGUGAGGAGGAAAGUCCGGGCAGCGUAGGGCACCGUGCUUCCUAACGGGAAGGGGUGCGGCUGGGAACGGCCGCGCUACGGAAAGUGCCGCAGAAAGGGAAACCGCCGAACCACCGCAAGGUGGUGGCAAGGGUGAAAAGGUGGGGUAAGAGCCCACCAGUGUUCCGCGCGAGCGGGGCAGCUAGGUAAACCCCACGGGCUGAAAGACCAUGUAUACCGGGGUUCCGUCGCAAGACGGAUAAGGGCGGCUCGUCCGAUCCCGGAGGGUAGGUCGCUAGAGGUCGUGCGUGAGCGCGAUCCCAGAUAGAUGGUGGGGGCUACCGCAAGGUGGAACAGGACCCGGCUUACAGAUGCACAGGACCU
rnacentral:RNase_P_RNA from 1 species